AAGCCAGUGGUGAACUCCACAUCCGCAUCCUUUGCUGAGGAUACGGUUAACGGAGCGAAAGCGACGUUCAACCGCAAAACAAGCAGAGGGGGCUUAGUGGUGGGGUGACUGCGUACCUUUUGUAUAAUGGGUCAGCGACUUAUAUUCUGUAGCAAGGUUAACCGAAUAGGGGAGCCGGAGGGAAACCGAGUCUUAAUUGGGCGUUAAGUUGCAGGGUAUAGACCCGAAACCCGGUGAUCUAGCCAUGGGCAGGUUGAAGGUUGGGUAACACUAACUGGAGGACCGAACCGACUAAUGUUGAAAAAUUAGCGGAUGACCUGUGGCUGGGGGUGAAAGGCCAAUCAAACCGGGAGAUAGCUGGUUCUCCCCGAAAGCUAUUUAGGUAGCGCCUCGUGAAUUCAUCUCCGGGGGUAGAGCACUGUUUCGGCUAGGGGGCCAUCCCGGCUUACCAACCCGAUGCAAACUGCGAAUACCGGAGAAUGUUAUCACGGGAGACACACGGCGGGUGCUAACGUCCGUCGUGAAGAGGGAAACAACCCAGACCGCCAGCUAAGGUCCCAAAGUCAUGGUUAAGUGGGAAACGAUGUGGGAAGGCCCAGACAGCCAGGAUGUUGGCUUAGAAGCAGCCAUCAUUUAAAGAAAGCGUAAUAGCUCACUGGUCGAGUCGGCCUGCGCGGAAGAUGUAACGGGGCUAAACCAUGCACCGAAGCUGCGGCAGCGAACGUAUCACCCAAGACAACUUUACGGAGUUGACGAUUGACGGAGCGAAGCGACGUCAAAGCGUUCAUUAAAGUCGAGUUGGCUUAGGGAUACGUUCGUUGGGUAGGGGAGCGUUCUGUAAGCCUGUGAAGGUGUGUCGUGAGGCAUGCUGGAGGUAUCAGAAGUGCGAAUGCUGACAUAAGUAACGAUAAAGCGGGUGAAAAGCCCGCUCGCCGGAAGACCAAGGGUUCCUGUCCAACGUUAAUCGGGGCAGGGUGAGUCGACCCCUAAGGCGAGGCCGAAAGGCGUAGUCGAUGGGAAACGGGUUAAUAUUCCCGUACUUGGUGUUACUGCGAAGGGGGGACGGAGAAGGCUAUGUUGGCCGGGCGACGGUUGUCCCGGUUUAAGCGUGUAGGUGUGUGUUCCAGGUAAAUCCGGUUCACUUUAACACUGAGGCGU
rnacentral:rRNA from 1 species